CACGUGCCCACUCCGCACAGGGUCCACCUGGUCUCCGAGAGAUGGAAUGGGCUCCAGAUGCUCCUCACUCAGGUGGUCCAAAGCACAGUUUCUCUUUGCGUUUGAGACGCACACCUGUCUGACCUUCCGGAGGAGACGACUUCAAUCUUCAGUGGAAACACAGACCCUCGUUUCAAAAGGCCCUAUCCUUACCAAGGUCAUGGCGAACCUGCUCUACCACUCAGAUAAGACCCGUAUUUAACAAUGACCCCUUAUUUUACGGCAGGCAAAGUGUCCGAGUGUCUCCAAGGCAGCCGAGUCUCCAGGUUCGAAAACAACUGGUUGAAGAUAAACUAUUUUUCUCACCUGGCCUGAUCAUUUACUGCAAAGUUACCAUGUGAUUAGUGCAAACACCAGUGUGUGUGUGUGUGUCUGUGUGUAUUAGGAACCAGUUUCCUGUCAAUAUGGAGUCAGUGAAGAAAUAAAACCUGAAGAGUCGUUGAGAAGGAUGGAGCCCAGACUCACAGAUAGAUGUUUUUCCAGCAAUAAAAGUGAACAUGUCACCUGUCUGUCUGUGUGUGUGUGUGUGCGUGCGUCUGUGUACACCUAUUCAUAGAGAAGCAGGGUUGGACACUGUAACUUGACAUGAACGUGAAGCAAAGGGACCGACUGGAAUCAGUGCUCAACUGGGCCUUUCUCCUCGUUUUGUCGGUUUCCCGAGCGCCUUGACCCGGAAGGCCGUCGUUCGCCCGAAAGGCUCUGCUGCAUCUCGGCAUCGGGUUCGAGGGUGGCAGGGACAACAAGGACGCCAGGUUCGGCUAAACACCUCUCCAUGCUGGAAGCAGAAGUGCGUGUCAAUGCAGCACACACUCGUCGAGCUCUGCGUUACUCGACUAUUCUCGAGCCGAUAUCAAUCCCACACCAGCGGAGGUGAAAAUGAGGGAAAAAGUGAUAUUGUCAUAAAAAUGACUGACGACCGUUUAGCACUGACAGCCUUCUUAAUUGUCCACAGCUGCUGGACGACGAUCAGGCCAUUCCCACGAAGACACGCGGACAUCGAGAACAAGAGGGACAGGAGCCAGGAGGCCACUCUUCUCUCCUGUUUCCCCAGGGUGACGCACAUCGCUCGGAGGAAGGUCAGGCAGCAGAAGAAGAAGAGUGUGACGUGAUGAACCUGCUGUUGGCACCAGGUGGAAACGCUGCUGCAGGUUCUGCUCAGCACUUGGGCCACAUGGUGACUGACGUGACGAGUGACGGAAACGGGGAAGAAAGAAGAAAAGAUAAAGAAUAACUUUUGUUCUCUUCCACGGGAAACGGCCGCGCAGGAGAUCAGAGUCUCGUGCCUCAGCUCAGCAGCCUGCGCCGCACUCACAGCUGACCGUGUGCCGGAGACGAGUUUCCAUCCGCCGGUUGCGCGGCAGCCACGAGACGGCUCCCGGGACGUUUACCGCGUUUCGGUCAGUCGGCCCGUGGCGGCAUUGCGAAAGCGUGGAGAGUUCCCCCGUAACAGCAGGUCGUCCCACCGGGGAGGCACCGCCGACCACGUGCAGCUGCUUUCCUCACGCUAAAGGGUCUGGGGGGGCACAUGGUGAGAGAGACCCCCAGUAGUCAAGGAAGUCCUCAGAAGAGUCGGACUGGGGAGCGGCAGAGCCUUAUGGGAGAGGGCGAGGGAGUUACUGUGGAGCUCAGCAAGUGCUGGCUUCCGAAAAACACUACACACACACACACACACACACACACACACAAGUAUCUUGUGACUGGCCAAUCCAAGGGUCAUGGGUCACGGGGAAGCGGCUGCAUGCGGCGCCAGGCCAAGGGGCAUUAAUUACAGCGCGAAUAUAGUAUAGGAACUCAGUGGGCACAUAAUUAAUUCUCAGCCACAACAUUUCGGGGGGCAGGAAAUGACCUGUUUGUGAAGAUCAAACAACACACGAGGCAGAAGAAGGGCAAUUACCAGCGAUCAGGAAGAGAGCUCGUCUCAUCUUUUCGUCCUUUGAUCGGCCAAACGGAUCACUUCGGAUCCAUGCAGAGCGGCGGCUCUGUCCACCUACUGUCCAGGCACGGCCCCCCAGGCCCUUCCCCCACCCCCUUCGCCCUCUUCCUCGAAAGCCCUUUGAGCUCCACACUUCUACACAGCAGCGAAUGAUGGAGAGCAACCAGAGCACAGCA
rnacentral:lncRNA from 1 species